GGGCUGCAGCUCAGUGGUAGAGCAUCUGCUUUGCACACAGAAGGUCCCAGAUUCAAUGCAUGGCAGUGGCA